AUACUUACCUGGCAGGAGAGAUACCAUGAUCACAAAGGUGGUCUUCCCAGGAUGAGGCUUAUCCAUUGCACUUUGGAUGUGCUGACCCCUGCGAUUUCCCCAAAUGCAGGAAACUCGACUGCAUAAUUUGUGAUAGUGGGAGACUGCGUUCGUGCUCUCCCCUG
rnacentral:snRNA from 1 species